rnacentral:rRNA from 1 species
UACAGAGGUCUCAAGCGUUGUUCGGAUUCAUUGGGCGUAAAGGGUGCGUAGGUGGCGCCGUAAGUCGAGUGUGAAAUUUCGGAGCUUAACUCCGAAACUGCAUUCGAUACUGGCGUGCUUGAGGACUGGAGAGGAGACUGGAAUUUACGGUGUAGCAGUGAAAUGCGUAGAUAUCGUAAGGAAGACCAGUGGCGAAGGCGGGUCUCUGGACAGUUCCUGACACUGAGACACGAAGGCCAGGGGAGCAAACGGGG